rnacentral:rRNA from 1 species
UACGUAGGGUGCAAGCGUUAAUCGGAAUUACUGGGCGUAAAGCGUGCGCAGGCGGUUUUGUAAGUUUGUCGUGAAAGCCCCGGGCUCAACCUGGGAAUUGCGAUGAGACUGCAAGGCUUGAAUCUGGCAGAGGGGGGUAGAAUUCCACGUGUAGCAGUGAAAUGCGUAGAGAUGUGGAGGAACACCGAUGGCGAAGGCAGCCCCCUGGGUCAAGAUUGACGCUCAUGCACGAAAGCGUGGGGAGCAAACAGG